rnacentral:lncRNA from 1 species
AGCCCUCUCUCCCCGGCGCCCCGGCUCCCAGCCUGUCUGACAGCGAGGAGAGUGUGUUCUCAGGCCUGGAAGAUUCUGGCAGUGACAGCAGUGAGGAGGAGGACGGGGCCAGCGGCGAGGAGCAGCACAGCAGGAUGGAGAAGGCCACGGGGCAGCAGGCUUUAACUGUCACGCUGGUGCACGGAAGAUGACCCAAGCCUUGCCCGUGGUCCGUGGGAUUCUGGGCAGCCAUCGUCCCCCUUCUUUUUAACUUUUUAAAAUGGCAAAAUGGUUCCUGUUUGACAAAAAAUGAAAUCCGACACGAGUGCUGUUUAGUAAAGGAUGGAAGUUCCUGUUUGCGUCUUUGCUCCAGGAUGUAACAGAAGACCCGGUAACGACGCCUGACCUGCGCGUAACAUCCGCCCCAGCUGGCGUCAGGGUCCUGCCCGCACUGUCUGCACCGAGCUUCCUGCAAACCUUUGGGCCGGAGGACCCAUCAGGCCUCCACCAGGCUCUGGGGAAUGGGAGCACGUCGGCUUCUCCUGCAGCCCUGCUGGGUUCUGGGACACUCUGCCCUGGGAGAAUCAUCACUCAGGUCACGUCUGGGGUUCAGGGGAGGGUCACAGAUGAGAACGGCUGGGGCUUCCUAACCCCUGUGUGCAGCUGGGGUGACCCGAGUAGCUGGCUAUCCCUGGGCCUGUCUGCCUGUGCCCUCGCUCAGGGCUUCGGGCAGCAUCCUGGGCGGAGCUGCAGGUCCUUUAUGACCUAGACCCGGGGUUCUGUCCGUCACUUUGGGCUGCUCCACUGGGGCUGGCAAACCAGUCACAAGCCCCCCAGAUGUGCAGAGAGUCUUUGCCGUUCAUUGGAAGGAAAGUCAAAGAUUUGUAGCCAUGGCUUAAAACAGCACAGCCAGAGUUCCCAUUGUGGCUCAGUGGGUUAAACAUUCGACUCGUAGCCACGAGGUGCAGGUUCUAUUCCUGGUUUCACCCGGCGGCUUGUGGGCCUUCACAAGCUGCAGUGUAGCUCGCAGGCGCGGCUUGGAUCCAGUGCUGUGGCUGGGGCGUAGGCCGGCAGCUGCGGCUUUGAUUCCAUCUCUAGUGUGGCAAUCUCCACAUGCCGCAGGUGUGGCCCUAAAAGACAAAAAUGCAAGCAGACGCACAGUCACAGGUGCCCCACCGCCCACCGACCCGUGCACAGUAGGCGUCCUUCCCACCCUUCAGAACCGCCUGCCUUUGCCGUGCCCGCUGUAUUUCUCAGCCCCAGGCUCUCAUCUCAGUCAGGCCCAAGCACAGGUGAGGGUCUCGGGCUCCCCCCCACACGGCGCGGGGCAGCCGUGGCCCCGCAGGUGGUGCGGAGCAGUCACUGGUCUGUGAUGUUCCUGAAAUUGGCCGCAGCAGCCAUUUCCUUGUGUGGGGCUGGCUUCUGCCCUUGCUGGGUGGCCUUCCUUUCGCUCAGAUCUGUGGCCUGUUCUCUCUAUGGCCCUUUGAGGCCACACUGGUGUAUUUUCUUUAAAAACCCGGCGGGUCUCC